AUUGAACGCUGGCGGCAGGCCUAACACAUGCAAGUCGAACGAGUGGCGGACGGGUGAGUAAUGUCUGGGCAACUGCCUGAUGGAGGGGGAUCACUACUGGAAACGGUCUCUAAUACCGCAUACCCUCAGAUGUGCCCAGCUGGGAUUCGCUUGUGGGUGGGGUAACGGCUCACCAAGGCGACGAUCCCUAGCUGGUCUGAGAGGAUGACCAGCCACACGGGAACGGAGACACGGUCCAGACUCCUACGGGAGGCAGCAGUGGGGAAUAUUGGACAAGGGGCGCAAGCCUGAUGCAGCCAUGCCGGGUGUAUGAAGAAGGCCUUCGGGUUGUAAAGUACUUUCAGCGGGGAGGCGUUACCCGAAGAAGAAGCACCGGCUAACUCCGUGCCAGCCGCCGCGGUAAUAC
rnacentral:rRNA from 1 species